CAUCACCCAGAGACCUAAAAUUAGGAUGAAAGUCUGUGGAUGCAACCUUUGGGGUGAUUUAUAUACACACAUGUGGCCAGUGGUCCUAAGCGUUUGCCACAAAGCCAAGUGGCAGGUAUAGUACUUGUAGUCUAGAUACAGCAGUUUAAUUACCAUAAACCUCCAAAUAAAUUAAGUUGUUUCAAGGAAAGAACAUAGUGAGCCAGUUUGGAUGAUCAGAUCUCAGUUUGAUAAAUAUGCACUGUGAUUAGAAACCUCUAAUAGGGGGUUGUAUCCUAUUCUUGUCCUGUACAGAGCAGACCCAUUGAAAUUAAUGGAUGUGAUUAAUUUAGGUCAAUGGGUCUAGUCUUGAGUAAAACUUGGUUGGAUGCAACCUAUAAUUCUCCAUUCCAUCCAGCCUGGGAAACUAUAGUUACCAGCUUUGUCACAAGCCAGGAUCAUAGAAUCAUAGAAUUGGAAGGGACCAGAAGGGUCAACUAAUCCCAACCCCCUGUAAUGCAGGAAUCUUUGGCCCAACGUGAGACCACCUUCAAAUAACUUAAACCACCUUCAGAUAAGUUAACUGUAUCUUGGCUUGCACCUAAGUGGUUAACCAUGUUUUUCCCCAGAAAUGGUUGUAGGGUUUUUAAACUUCCUGGUUUGUUUACUUUUGUACCGUGAAAUAGUUGCAUGUACUAGCGAAAGGCUUGUGCUUUUUUGGGGGAGGGUACAGGGAAAGCACUGUAUUGCUAGUGAUUCAGAAAGGGGCAAACACAAUGGUUUUCCACGACCCGACCACGAUGAAAGCCAAUUAGUACAAGCAUGAGCUGGACUAAUCUCAGAAACAAGCUCCUCCCACUUUGAAGAACACACAGAAACCACUUUAUCAGUUGUGCAUAACUGCUCCACCGUCUCUCCAGAAUGGCUUCCAGAAUGGCUCCAGAAAUUUGUGUAUUAAGUGGCAAGUAGUAGCCUCUUUGAUCGCCUGGACCAAGGGCAUGGGGGGACUGUGGCCCUCCAGAUGCCCUUGGACUCCAGCUCCCACCAGCACCUGCCAGGUUUGCUCCAAAGAAGAAAAGAAACAAGGCUCUUAGCAGCAACUGGUCCAUUUUAAACGCUGUUGUGCAGAUAAAGAAAGGAUGACUUCUAAGUACAGCAUGGGAGCCACUAUUCCAAAAUACCAAGUGAGCACAUUCUCUUCUGAGACAUGACUCAAUAACUGAGAUAAACAAAAGGAGGGAAAGGGUGAGGGAGGGCAGGAGUUAGACAGUAAGUCGGCGCGGUUACAAAGGUCAUAGUUGUGCAACCUUGAAGGUACUAAAUAUAUGCUGUAUUUAGAAAUAAAUAACAUCAGCUGUUUCGUGCCUAAUGAUACAGUCUUUGCUUCAGAGGCAUGAUUUAAAGGAGGAUGGGGUGAGGUUUUAAAGGAGGAUGGAGUAAGUUCAGGGUGCUUUGCUCUGUGUGCUUUAUAGAACUGGAAGUCGGAGGACAGGAGCCAAGGCACUUUGCCCAUGCCCAGUAAUUAAAUAUGGCACAAAUAAAUGAAGAAAGGGGAGAGAAAAGAGGCCCCUGGGUCACCCCCUUUUACCAUUUAAAAAGAGCAAUAUAUUCUCUUUUUGGCUUCAAGGACAAAAAAUGUGGUUCAAGUUAGACUAGAGAACUGUGGAUACAACUGGUCAUGUAUUUGCAGCCAGUUCAAUCACCAGGUAGAAAUGUAAGCAUUGCUAAUUGCUUUGCAUCAGGGCAAAUGCAGGAAGAAGGAGAGAGUUGCUGCAACCGUACCCUCAGAAUAGUUUACACGUAUCAGUAGUUCUGAGGAGCCACCAGAUCCAGUCACCUCUUUGUCCUUCAGACAUACCCGCCGCCCCCCAAAUCACCCUCAGGGCUACAGGAACAGAGCCAAGCAGAAGCUUCAAUGCUGUCAGUAAAGUGGCCAGCUAGAUAGCUAUAUGGGAGGUUACUUGGGAGGUGCAUGUAAGAACUUGCCUAGAUCAGGGUCUGGCUGAGGGCCAGGAAGGGUUGGAGUUCAGCUCUCCUAUAUAAGCUCUCAGUCCGAGCCGCUUGAACUGCUGAAGUAAUAAUUUGUAAUUUGCAAGCCUUAGGCUUCCAAAUUUAGCCUUUCUGGACUGAGGGAAAUGAAUGGGGGUGAACUGAUUUGACGGGCUAGCUCAGUUGGCAGAACAUGAGACUUACUAAUCUCAAAGUCAUGGGUUUGAGCCCCAUGUUGGGCAAAAGAUUCCCACAUUGCAAGGGGUUGAACUAGAUGACCUUCAUGGUUCCGUCCAACUAUAUAGUUCUCUGAUUCUGUAUGCUCUUCAAAGAAUGUAAAUUUGAAAAAGCUGCAAUUGUAUUUCAGAGCUCUGCAAGACUGUUGAAACCGAUCAGAAAUGUGUGGAUCAGUUCUGCUGCGCUGUCAAAAUCUCAACAUUUUGCACCAAUCUAUGUGAAUGCCCCUGUGUUUAACGAUUCUCCUUUGUUUUUCUUGAUGCUGAAAGCUGGAUUUAUCAUCUGGCUUUGGUCUCAAGGCUGUUUCUCCACUGAUCCUGUCUGUACCCCCUCCUUGAACCAUUUUUGGAACAAUCAACAAUUUAGUCUAAAAUCAUGCUGGAUGUUUGGGCUGGAAAGCUUAGUUUAUUUUGUCCCUCUUUUCAAGGACUUAAGAUGUUGCUGCAGGCAGCAGUUAGUCUAGAGAAAGCGGGCUAAUGGCUAGUCCGUGAUGUUUGUACUUUAUAAAAUAUUGUUUUCGAAGCUUGUUCCCUUGGUUCUGACGCCAGCCAGCCCUGUGAACUUGAGCAGUGAUGUUUGAUCAAGCUGACUCAUUGCUAUCAACCUCUGUUUCCUUGUAUGUAAAACAGGAUUAAUAGAAAGAUGUAUUGGUUUCCAGAUGUUACAAAGAGCUAAGUACCAUUGCUCAAAUAUUUUAUGUGUUAAAUCCUUGCAGUUGUAGGAGAGCAUUCUGAUAGGUUGCUUUUUUUAUUUAUUGGAAUACCAUGUGCAAAAGGGACAAGAGAGACAGCCAGCUUUAUAAGUGUCAGCUUUGCCUGUUUUGACACUGGAUUUCAUGGAGGUACUUUUGAUGUAUUCUUCUUAGCCAUAAUGAUUUUUGUUUUGUCUAACAGAUUCAUCUUUAGCUCAGUGCUUUAAUUUCAAAGGGCUUUCAAGCCCUCACCUUGAAAAGGCUAUUGGUGAAACAGAAAUGUCUGAAGGAAGGAGUGACUUCAAAUAGUUUUUGGAGAGGAGCAUACUGGAUAUUUUGCUAGUAGCAGCAAAGGCAGAUUUCUCCCCUUCUGCCACUUCACAAACAUUACAUUUGUCAUAGCAGUAAUGACAAGUAUUCUAAGGUGUGGGUUCUCUGUUGCAUUUACGUUUUGUAGUGCUUUGUGGCAAAGUGUGGGGGCUGUUACUGUCAAGAAACAGUACUUUGCCAAUAGACAAAACUAAAGAGCAAUGUUUAAGUAAUAACAAGCAAGUUUGCAGAAAAGCUAGCCCAUUAUAUGGAGAGCAAGGAAGGUUUUAAACUGUUGCCUAGAGAGGCAAAGGGUCUAGUGGGCUUUCUUAAUACAUAUCACAGCACAUUCCUUGGAAGGCCUUGGGAUUAUAGACUGGAUGCUUUCCAAAAACUUAAAAGAAAUUUUUAAAAAUCCUUUCCCUCAUGUAAAGAAUGUGUGUUUUGAAAGUAGAGGAACUGAGUCAAAGUUUGCUUCUCUGCACAAUUACUAGCAUGGGAGAUGUGUGCGGCAUUCUGAAUUUAUAAAUAAGACUUAAGUGGUUCUUAGGGAAUUGUCCUCCCCUUCCAAAAAACCCCCCGUUAGAACAUUUGGCAUAUUUAGCUGAAUUAAUGGAUAAACUAAAUGGAAAAUACAGCUUUUAAAUACUUCUGUAGGUGCAAACCCUUUGUGGCUUACAAAAUAAAUGUUUGUCUUUUUUGCAAAUAUCAGUCCAAAGCUACUUAUUUUGGAAAAAUUAGUGGCACUCUCCAUUUUGCCUGUUUAAAGAAUAGUUUAUAAAAUUUACAUUCCUUUAGAAAUGGGGUGUGCUUCUCAUUACUAUUUACUAAUUACUCUUAUGUUCUUGACUGACUGUUCAUGCUGUAGAUGCAAAACCACUUGCGUGUUCACCUUAAGAACGUAACAUGCAAUGUGGAAAAUAGACUGCCCUUGAGAUCUUGUUGGACUUCACUUCCUAUCAGCCAUAGCCAGGGAUGAUGGCAGUUGUAGGCCAGCAACAUCUGGAAGGCCACAGCCAUUUCCCCGCCCUGGUAUUUAUACCAUUUAUAUUCUGUACCUUCAACAUGAUCAUAUUUGCAGACUGCUGGCAAAAAUGUAGUAAAAGCAGUAUACCGUACAAAAUAAUCAAACUAGCUAAACUAGUAACAAACCUCUAGAGGCCUCAAAGCUGCAUUUAAAGUUGGGGGGGGGCCUCAACAAAGAUCUCAAAAUAUUUUUUUAAAGCCUAGGGAAAUGUUUUAGCUGGACAUAGUCAGACCAUUGCCACAUCUACGGCAAUAUUUAUGUUGCUUGGCAGCAGCUUACCAUAAUUCACGUGGGUCAUCUGGUUGUAACUUUGAGCACCCACUUUCCAUGCAAAAGGUCUCUUCAAUCCAUGGCAUCUCCAUGUUGGGCAAGGAGAUGCUCCCUGUCUGAAACCUUGAGGAGCCACUGCCAAUCAGUGGAACCAAUACUGAGCUAGAUGGGCCAAUGAUCUGAUGUGUAGGAUAGCUUCCUAUAUUCUUAACUACUACCACGGGGGUAGUCAACAUGGAACCCACCAGAUCUGUGGACUACUAUGAAACUCUCCCAGCAUGGCUGAUGCACUGGAAUGAUGUGGAGUUGCAGACCACAACAUCUGUAGGGCACCACAUUGACUACCCCUGCUGUAAGGCAAAACAGCUGUAUUAUAUAUUGCAGAUGGCAGGCAAGGGACGCUGACUUACUGUGGGGGGGCUUCCCUAGUGACCUAGAGAAUUCAUGACAAAAUCAAAUUUAAAACCAGGGAAUUUGUCAUAACUCAGUCUCUUGAUAGAUGUGCUGCGCUAUACUAAGAAUGUCCACAUAGUACUGAAUUAAAUGGGGCUCACUUGAAAAUUAAGUAGUGUUGCAGUCUUGUCCUCCUUGUAUUAGUCUAAUCCUCCUUUAAAACAACUUUGUGUAAAACUUGGACUUGUUUAAACUUUUUCUUUCAUUCCAAGCUAUGUUUCAUUUUGUAAUGCUCUCUAAUUCCUCUGAACUUAUUCUGUGUUUCUCCCUAUUUUAUUUUCCUCUUUCUGAGCUGUCUCCUUCACACCUUAUAUUCACUUUAUUCCUUCUUCCCCACCCACUUUUCUUCUUCCUCCUCCUGCUUUUACUCUGGUUCUUAUGCAGCAUAUUUCAUUGUGAUUGAGCUGUAAUGUAUAAUUCAUCAAGCUGCGUUGAACCAUGAAGCUAUUGUAUGAAAGGGAGAUGGAGACAAGUUGAGCAAAUGAAAGGCUUAAUUCUAGUGUGGAGACUUGGCCUGCCCAGGCACAACGAAUGCCAGCCUUCAUUUCUGAAGAGCAUGUCAUUAAGCAUGGGAAUGGGUGGCCAUUAGGACUGCAGUGUCCCACCAAAAGCAACCCCCUUUUCUGUGCUUAAUCUCAGUGACUGAAAAUAACAAUGUCCAUUGUAAAGUGGCAUAGCUCUUCUGAGCAGUGACAUUGUUCUAAUUCAGGUUGUUGGCAUCUGUCUGUCUUCAGAGACAAUGGAGUGCACCACCAGGGUUGAAGUCACAGGUGAGAGCUGAGUGCAGGGUGGAGACGAAAGGUGGACAAACUACUGCAGAAGGAAUAUGUGUCUCCCACUAGAGAUACUACCCGUCCUUAGAGCUCAGAAACUACUCACACUAAUGAAAUUCCCUGUUGCAAAAUGUGCCCAGAACAGUGGGAGUUUCAAACACUGCACCCAAGUCAGACCAGUGUUCCAUCUAGCUCACUAUUGUCUGCUGUGACUGGUAGCAGCUCUCCAGGGCUUCAGCCAGGAAGUCUCUCCCAGGAAGUCUCUCCUUCCUGGAGACACUGUGGAUUGCACCUGGGACAUUCUGCAUACAAAUCAGAUGCUCUGCCACUGAACUACAGCCUGUCUCUCCACCACCAGUACCAACAAUGCUUCUUGGGUCACUGAAUCACAUGAGCUGCUUGAUCAUUUUGGUUGCCCCUUUCUGAACCCUUUCCAGCUCUACAGUAUUGUUUUUGAGGGACAGUGACAAGAACGUAUACACAUUAUUCCAAGCAUGGUUGGAUCAUGCAACUCCCAUCAUCAGCAAACUUUUUCAGCAGGGGGCCGGUCCACUGUCCUUCAGACCUUCUGGGGGGCCGGACUAUAUUUUUUGGGGGGGGGGGGGAUGAAUGAAUUCCUAUGCCCCACUAAUAACCCAGAGAUGCAUUUUAAAUAAAAGGACACAUUCUACUCAUGUAAAAACAUGCUGAUUCCCGGACCGUCUGUGGGCCAGAUUUAGAAGGCGAUUGGGCCGGAUCCGGCCCCCGGGCCUUAGUUUGCCUACCCAUGUCCUUGACAGGGCUGCCUGGGGCUGUUAAGAUGUGGAAGUUACAACGUCAGGAGCACAGGUUCACCACACCUGCUCUAAAGGAAGACACCAUUUUGUUGACUUCUUGAAAAUUCACAGAAGUUUCAGAAAUGCAAAAACCAAUACUAAUGAAGGAGUUUGUAAAUAUAGUCUCACGCCCACACCAAUUCUUUUUUCAAUAAACAAAGCAUUUAUUUUAAUUUAAUUAACUCAGAUUCCUAGAAAAUAUGCGUUCCAAGUAUAGCAACCACAACUUCCUGUAGUUUCGUAUGUUUGGGAGGGGGAAGGUAAUUGUUGAAGCAUCACCCCUGCUGCCCUGCAACAUUUCCUCUUAAUUCAGGAUGGAGAAGUUUACUUUCUCAUGUAUUGAUCUGUUGCGAUGAUAGGCACAGAGCCACAGACCCAUUACUCACUCAUUGCACACUCCACCCCCAAAACCUGACAAGUCAUGCUCUUGGAAUGUUUCCUACAGAUUUACCAGCUUUAGGAAACAACUGUAGUUCCUCUACCACCCAUCUGCAUUUCUGUAAAGAGCAAAUACAGGAGAAUUAGAAGGUGGUGGUGGUGUUUUUUUUAAGGGAGAAAUUCCUUUUAGCAGAGAUGACCCAAGAUAGUUUGGUUCCUGAGUCAGAGAACCCCAAAUGGUGACUCCUCUUCUCCACUCUGUCCCACCCUCACCAUGGAAGUAAAAAUAUAAUGAUAAAUCAAAUCUUUAACAAUUCUCCCCUAUUUUAAUGGUCAACCUGCCUUUUAGAUUUUAAACCAUUGCCAAGUCUGCUAAUUUAAGUCUCUCUCUCGGGGCGACGGGGGAAAAUGUGUUGGUAGUUACGUGUUAUUCUGAUCCCCUUGUUGGGUAUGAACAUGGGUUCAAAUUCCAGUCAGCCAUGAAACAGCUUUUGAUAAGUUCGUGCUAAGCACUGUUCCGGUUUGGCAUGACUCAUUGGAUUAUUGUGAGGAUAAAAUACAAUAAUGAUAUAUAACUCAACCUGAUAUGGGGAAGGGCUGACAUUGCCCUGUUAGGACUGGGAAAGAUCACAGCCUGAAACCCUAGAACAGGGGUGAGGCACUCAUAGUCCUUCAAAUGUUGUUGGAAUGCCACUCCCAUCAUCCCUGAUGAUUGAUCAUGCUGGCUGGGGCUGAUGGGAUCUGGAGUCCAACUACAUCUGGAGGGCCUUAAGGAUCCCCACCCCUGUCUUAGACUACUACUCAGGAUAGACAACUAGAUGGAGCAAUGGUCUUGAUGGUAUAAGGCAGCUUGGCGAGUGCUAUUACACUGAGGAACUGCUUACAGGCUUCCCAAAGGCAUCUGGUGGGCUGCUGUGCGAGCAGCAUGCUGGACUAGAUGGGCCUUUGAAGUGAUCCAGCAUGUUCUUUGUAUGUCCUUAUUGGACACCCACAUCCAUUGGUGAUCCACUGCUGACUCCAACCUACCCCUGUCUGGACUUCUAUUUCUCCUUACUUUGUAGUUGCCUGUCUUCUCCAAGCAUGUGAUCAGUGAUGAUAAUGAUAUCAAGGAGGAAGGAGCAGGGACCUCUAUUCACCUAGUCCUCUUUUUCCGACCACUGGUGUAGAUUGAGCACAGAGGGAUGGCAAGCUAGUGGCAAGAAAGGGGGGGGCUUUCUUUUUCUAUCAAGGCCUGUGCUCCCUGUGGUGGUGGUGGGAUAAUCUGUCAGGGAUCAUAUGUCCGCAAUGGGUGGGUCCAGAACCCAAAAUUGGGUGGGUCCACCUCUUCCCCCUCACCCCUUUCUUCCCCCCUCUUUUCUCUCCCCAGGCUUGUGGCAGAUGAGUGAGGGAGAAAGACAAAUCACUCUUGCAAAAUGUCUGAGCUGAUCACUUUGCAGAGGGGCUUUAGAAAUUAGGCCAAAGGCCACAUGAAAUUAAGCUGCAGGUUGUGUCCACCCCGACCGAAGUUCAUGAAGAUAUGAACUGGCUCAUACAAAACUCUGUUGAACAAGAACAUUGGUAAUCUCAUGUAGUAAUUUUGGGGGGGGGGAGACGACAAAUCUAAAUAAUCCGUCACUUAAAAACCCUCUUUUAAAAAAAAAUAAAAACAUGCACUCUUACUUAAUGUACAUUUUGGAAACUCAUUAUUUCUCCCUGAAUCAUUUCAAUGCCAUGCUAGGAAGGAGUGAUUUCAUGCCAUUUUCUCUUCCCUCACCCCCCACCCAAAAAAGUAGGUGGAAUUACUCAGUACUUUGGUAUAAUUGUUCUGAGUCCUUUUUCUGAAUUCGAAGAGAAAAUGUGCAGAAGAGAUGUACAGCAGGCACCCAAUGUGAUGGAAAGGUAUAAUUUGGCCACCUACCACUAGCUGCUGAAAAGUAAUUUUAAAGGCCGGGUGCCGAUCAGGAUUAAUCACCCAGUUCGUUACUGAAAAACACGUCUUUCCUUUCCCACACCUUCGUGUGUUCCUUGCUAAAGAGUGUAAGGAGAGAGAGGAACAACCUCUUUGACCGUAUUUACUUGGGAGAAAGAUAGUCCAGCUCUAACCAAAAGGGUUCCCUUUGUGUUGACACAUUCCAGUGUUCCCUUCCUAUAUAGGACUUGCUUUUGUAGAAAUAAUCCGUGGUCAUUGCUGGUGAUGCAAAGAUAAAAAGUCUGCCCCUGCCCCCUUUCCCUGCAGACUGUUUAUGGGCCCUGUCAGCUCAGUUACCUUCAGUUGAACUCCAUCGAUGGACAUGGCCAAGUGUUCCCCUUCAAAUGAAGGGAGGGUGGUGGUGAGGGGAAGAGCAUUGUUGAAAGGAGGUGACCUCUUCGUCACCCUCUUCUGUCAUCAUGAUGCCUUUAUGGGUGUGUUUUUUAAAAUUCUUUCUGAACCACAACAACUUUCCAUCCUCUUCCCCAGAGACAUAGUGGGGAUUUUUUCUUUUUUUUUUCUUUUCAGCAAUGCACCCUCUCUGUCACUCUUAAGUUUAUUUGACUUAGACUUCAUAGUCAAAAGCUAUGGAGUGCCUCUUUUUUGUUUUUAAUUAAAAAAACAACUUUUAUUUAUUCCUUAUGGAACCAACAGUGUUGUAUUUUCAAAUAUAAUCAGAACUAAGUGGCUCCUCAUAGUGUAGUUGGGCUGACUUGCUGGGAGACCUUGAGCCAGUCACUGUCUCUCAGCCUAACCCACCUCACAUGGUGGUUGCAUGGGUAAUGUGGAGAACAUGUAUGCUACCACGAUGUCCUUGGGGAAAAGCAGGGAGAGGACAUAGAUGCAAUAAGUAAAUACAUGUAACACUCCACCCCAGAGCUGUGCAGCAAGAUUAGUUAUGUUAAAUUCUCUAGAAUAGUCUUUAAUCAAGAAUAUUCUUGAGAAUAUUCUCCAAAUGAGGUGUGUACAUUUAAAGCAGCUGUGUAGACGACACAGAAUUUACAGUUUGUGGAGAAUAUUCUCCAGAGAAUUUUCUAGCAGAGAAUAUUCUCGAGAAUAUUCUCCAAAGAAUUUUCUCACCUCACAUCACUAAGCAAGAUUCUCUCAUUGCAGUUCUCAUACAUGAAUCCUAAGUUAGUCAUGUCCAUUACCUUCAGUGGGUCUGCACUGAGUAGGACUAGCAUUGGACACAGCACAUGAAAAUCAGGUGUGAGAAUUGCCAGUGAAAAGGAAAGAGGUGUGGGUGGAGGAGACUCAGAGAGAAGCAUUAUGUCACCAAGAUUCUCUGCCAGCUGUGAUGGAGCCGGACUAUUGAUGAAUCCCUGGCUGUAGGCCAGUCUUUCCUGGACUCAAAUGUAAUUCAGGGAGAGGGCAGGGGAGGAGAAGGGCGGGAGGAGGGAGAGAGAACCAGACAGAGAAAUUGAUUGUUAGUUUAAUGUGAUUUGACAUCAGGGAAAGUGGAAGUAGAGGACAAGGAAAAGCCACAACCUCAGUGCUACAUUAGCAGCACUUUGACAUUACAGAAUUUAUUGGUGCCCUGUUUCUCUCCUGGAGACAGACUUUUUAGAAUCCUUUCCAGAGCAAGGGAAAUAUGGCCAAGGUUUGUGUAUGAAUGAUAUCUUUGUGUGCAGGAGACACAGCUUGCAGGCACUCUCCCUGCUGCCCCCCCCCCCGGUGGCUCAGCACCUACAGGAAAAGGAUGGAGAGGGCAGAGCAGUCAAACAGCUGGAAGAUGAUAUCCAUCCUUUGUUAAGGCCAUCAGUAAUUUCUCUGGAUGGGGAAAGAUCACAGCUAUGAGUUGUCAAAGUGAUCCAGAAAUGUCCCUGGCUGGUUAUAGAAUCCUGUCCUUGACAAGAAAGCUAUCUAGCAAACUGUAUCUGGGCAAGUUCAACCAUUUGGCUAAGUAAUGAUGUGCAACAGAGCCCAAUUGGACUCCUUAAUGUAGGGUUGUCUCCUGGUAGUGUGGGAAGGGGUACAGACCUUGCUCCUUAAGUUGGGAUUGUCGUAUAUUAUGAAAUCCCUCAAACCUUAGAAAAUGAUGGCUCUUCCAAUGCUGGGUGCUUGCAAUUUGUUCCUUUGCAUCAUCGUACAUAUUACUCCUAAUUCCCUUUCAUGUGUGGUGUUAUCUUGUCGUAGGCUUGUUGAAGUUGUGUGAAGCAUCAUAUUUUGAAGAGAGCAUUUUGGUUAUUGUUUCACACAUGAUGCUUCUCUUGCUUAUGUAACAGCAAAAUACCAACCAAAUGUUGGGAAUGUGUCCUGAGUAUUUGUGCAGGUUGUUGCUGACCACUGUGUGUGUUUAUUUAUAUACACCUUACUUCCCAACAAAACAUUUUACUCAAAGCCAUAAUGUGUAUAUGUGGUGACUGUAUUUUGGACCAAUUGCAAUUUCCAGAACAUAUUUAAAGUCAGCCUUAAAGAUUGCAUCAGGAGUCCAAUCUGGGCAUAACUGGAGCAUGUGUGACCUAGUCCGGGUCUACUAAGCACUGCAAUAUUUCUCGCUUUGGUUUGUUGGUUGCUUGCCAUUCAAAUAGGUAUGGGAGGAGAUUGCAGCUUAUGUCACACACCAAGACACAUUAGGUUCUCUAAAGAGAGUGUUUCUUUUCCUCUCUCUUGUUGGUGGUGUGGUUUAGGAGAAGUAUGCAGACAGGCUUAGAGGUAUGUAAGGGCAUUAUUGUAAGAGAAAAUGUCCCGUCUGAAGUAGCCACGAGACGAGAGCUCUGGGCCUGUGCUUUAUACGGGGCAAGAAAUCCUGUGUUGUUUGCUAAUUCUCUCCCAGACUGGAAAAUACUUCACGUCUGUCCUCGCGGAAAACAUGUCAUGAAAGAGUGUUUGUACGAGAGGCAUCUUUGUUCAUUGUUCCCCUCAGCCAGUGUAACUUGACAUAUUCUGCAUUAAAGGCGGAGGUACCUUGAAAACGGCAUUUUGUUUUGCUUUUUAAAGAAAGAAAGAAAGAGAAAGAAAGGAAAGGAAAAAACAGCUCACAGUCAUGGAACUGGAAAGCCACCCCAAGGACCAGGUCCUGAGCAGCGCUAUGAAGCUAGAGCCAGAUGUGAAGACUGGUCUCGAGGACUUUAACAGGACAGCAUUGACCACUGUGUUAUUUCCCCCCUUGCCUCCAUACCAUACUUCAGUCUCCAUAACUUCCACCCUUCUUUGCUAUCAGCUUCACACCAUCAUCUUUUGUGGAAGCUUAAGCUGUUUAUGGAUGAUAUUGCUAUCAGUGGCUACUAGCCAUGAUGAGUGUAGUGUCUGAGGCAACAAGUCUCUGAAUACCAGUUGCUGUUGCACUCAUGUCUUGCUUUCAGGCUUCUCAGAGCAACCCAGAUGACCACUGUGAGAAUAGGGUGCUGGACUAUUUUGAUGUAUCCAGUUUGGACAUCUUUAAAAGAAUAUUAGGCAAUUCAUGGAGGAUAAAUCUUUCAAUGACUACUGGGCCCAGUGUCUAUGUUCUCCCUCCACUGUUAGAGGCAAUAUGCCUCUGCAUUCCAGUUGCUGAGAAUCAAAGUGGAGGAGAGUUGCUAUUGAACUCUCUGUUCCUACUUUGGGGCUUCCUUCAGGUGUCUGGUUGGUCACUAUGAAAAGAGGAUGCUGGUCUGGAUGGUUCUUUCAACCUGAUCUUGCAGGACUGCUCUUAUGUUUGCACAUGUUAGCAUUUUCCUCCUCUUCUCUCUCUCUCUCCUCUCCUCUCCUCUCUCCCCCCCCCCCCCCGCCUCCCAUGGAGCUUUGAGGUUUCUGAAUGCAGUAAAUAACAUUUUUACUACCUUCUGUUGCGGAAAGGGCAUGUCUAACCUCACAUUUCCAAAUAGGCAUAUCUUGAUGGUCCAGGCCAGCUGUAAAGUAUGAUCCAAGAUCAUACUAUGACUCUCAUGUUACACACAGAAGCAGGAGAUCAAGUAUGUCAUGCAGGGGAGUGAGGAAGACACACACUUGUGACAUAGGUAGCAGUACUCAGAAUACACUCAUUGAAAAUAGCGGCUAUUACUAACAAGUCUCUUGAUUGAACAUUGGCUGUAUUCUGCAAUCCAGUGUGGUAUAGUGGUUGAAGUGUUGAACUAGGAGAUCAGCUGGGUUCAAAUUCCCACUCAGACAUUUGGGAUAAAGCUGCUUCCUAUAUUCCCAUGCAGGAUGGUACUUCCUUAAAAGAAGGUACUUGGUGGGUUGGAGUCCACAACCCAGGUUGGGUAUGGUUUAGGUUGGAGGUUGGUGCUUUUGGCCAAAUGUGAGGGUUUUCUUUUGCACCCUGGCUUUUUGAGCGACUGGACUACUUCCACCCUUGUUACACAAAUGUCAAAUUUGUCCCUAAUAUUCUCUUGAAUCUUUUAUGGCACUCCAAUGUUGUCAAGAGAAGCUGCUCUCAAUUUCUAACAAAUGCCUUCUCCACCCUCGCAUAGUUCUUAAAAGUUCUGCAGGGUAGGGACUAUGAAGGCUACUGUAGGUGAAACAUGAAAGGUGAUUGCGUGUUUUCUUCCAUUCAGAUAAGAGUGUGUUUUUUAAAAAACAAAAGGGUUGUAUGUUUGAGGUGUGGCAUUGUUGGUUUCUUUCUUUUACCCUGGUGUUGACGAAGCAAGUUUCUGUGAGCCAGUGUGGGAGUUGGAGAGCAGGAAGGAGAGGGUUGAUUUGGCAGGUUGAUCAAACGAAGGUUUUAAUCCAUUUUCAAUCCAUCUGCCCUCUUAUUACUCUCCAAUCUUCUUUUGAAGAUGUUGUGGGUCUCUUUACAGCGAUUAAAGCACAAUCCAGUUACGUGGAUUCUGACGGCGUGCAUCCCAGCCUCUUCAUCCCCUCCACCCCAGAUGCCCCAUAUUUUAUGGUAGGGAAAAAGUGAGAGAGAGAAAGCAAAUGGUAUUAGCUAGAACUACCUGUUUGUACUGAAUAGAAGCUUACAGGAGAACAUAAUAAUGUUUGAAAGGAACACUACAGGUAGUGCAUAAACCUUCUGCAAGGAGCACCAGCUACUUCAGGCCUCUGGGUGCAUGUUAUGUCCCAAACUACCAUGGAGCUGUCUUUCCUUAGGCAAACAGCUAACAACUACUGCACCAGAGUCCUUCAUUUAAAAUUAAUUCUCAUUGUGUGGCUGUGGAGAGUACUUAAAAAUCCAGAGAGCCACUCAACAUGUUUGUUUGCUUGUAUCUGUAGUUAGAUUGAUGAAUAAGGUCUACUUCAUGUAUAGAAUCUAUCUAAGGGACCCAAGUUAGUCAUGUCUAUUAAUUUCAGUGUGUCUACUCUGAUUGGAUUAGCAGUGGCUACAACCCUAUAUCUUCUCAAUCUCUCUCUAAUGACCCUUCCAUCGUAUGCUCACAACUGGACCUUUUAGGAAAGCUUUUCAGCCAUUACUGUUUCUUUGGUUCUACAUUUUACAAAAUGCUUUUAACUGCUGUGGUUAAAUAAUUUUUUGGUGAUUUGGGUAUUCUCUCCAGAUGCCUUGAGUGGCAAAGACGUUUCUCUGCUACUGUAGUGCUUUAGUUAUUUAAGUUACUUUGUUAGGUGCCUUGGGCUGGUUGAAGAAAAUAGGGUGUGUAGAUUGUAUGUGUGUGUGUUUAUGUUUGCCCUCUCCUUUCCCCCUCCUGCCUCUCUUGUCUUCCUGACAUUCAAAAGUUAAAGUUCUCUAGACUUUGGAGCCAUAUGCUUCAUUUGGGUUCUGCUAAUAAUGUGAAGCAGGGUGGGAAAACUUUUCCAGCCUGUUGUUGUUGUUUAUUAAAUUUGUGCAUAGCCCUUCACCCAUAGAUCUCAGGGCAGUUGGUAACAU